rnacentral:rRNA from 1 species
UACGUAGGCAGCGAGCGUUGUUCGGAGUUACUGGGCGUAAAGGGUGUGUAGGCGGUUUGUUAAGUUUGGUGUGAAAUCUCCCGGCUCAACUGGGAGGGUGCGCCGAAUACUGAAUGACUUGGAGUGCGGGAGAGGAAAGUGGAAUUCCUGGUGUAGCGGUGAAAUGCGUAGAUAUCAGGAGGAACACCGGUGGUGUAGACGGCUUCUUGGGCCGAGAUUGACGCUGAGGCGCGAAAGCUGGGGGAGCGAACGGG